rnacentral:lncRNA from 1 species
CUGUCACCACCUGCCAAGGAGGCUGUGACUUAGGUAAUGGCCAGGGUCAGCAGAGCUGAAGGAUCAGCCUGGCUCCCCAUGACCCUGCACACUGGCCCUGGCCCGGGACACAUGCGUCCCAGACGUGCAGACACGGACUCCCUGGACACCCUGGCAGGCGGCCUCUGUCUCUGCAGUCACACAGGGAAGACUGGCCAGGUCGUUCCCAAGUGCUUUUCCUGGGCACAUCACACGGACAGACACCAGGGUCUGCACCUUACAGGACAUUCCCUUCCUCUUCCUCCUCAACUCCUGAGCCACUUGCCACCACCAGUUUAUGCCCAAAAGGGUAGGUCUUCUAACAGUGCAACACCAUGAGCCCCGCAAGGAACUUCCCGACCCAGUGGAACUUCCCACAAUGGUGCAAUGUUCCAGCUCCACACAGCGCAGAACAAGAGCCGCCAGCCACGCAGGGCUAUGGAGCAUUCAAAACGUGACCGGCGCACCUGCAGAAUGACACCG